UGGGGAAUAUUGCACAAUGGGGGAAACCCUGAUGCAGCGACGCCGCGUGAACGAAGAAGGUAUUCGUAUCGUAAAGUUCUGUCCUAUGGGAAGAUAAUGACAGUACCAUAGAAGAAAGCUCCGGCUAAAUACGUGCCAGCAGCCGCGGUAAUACGUAUGGAGCGAGCGUUGUCCGGAAUUAUUGGGCGUAAAGGGUACGCAGGCGGUUUAAUAAGUCGAAUGUUAAAGAUCGGGGCUCAACCCCGCAAAGCAUUGGAAACUGAUAAACUUGAGUAGUGGAGAGGAAAGUGGAAUUCCUAGUGUAGUGGUGAAAUACGUAGAUAUUAGGAGGAAUACCAGUAGCGAAGGCGACUUUCUGGACACAAACUGACGCUGAGGUACUAAAGCGUGGGGAGCAAACAGG
rnacentral:rRNA from 1 species